GACGAACGCUGGCGGCGUGCCUAAUACAUGCAAGUCGUGCGGACCUUUUAAAAGCUUGCUUUUAAAAGGUUAGCGGCGGACGGGUGAGUAACACGUGGGCAACCUGCCUGUAAGACUGGGAUAACGCCGGGAAACCGGGGCUAAUACCAGAUCGUUUUUUCCUCCGCAUGGAGGAAAAAGGAAAGGCGGCUUCGGCUGCCACUUACAGAUGGGCCCGCGGCGCAUUAGCUAGUUGGCGGGGUAACGGCCCACCAAGGCAACGAUGCGUAGCCGACCUGAGAGGGUGAUCGGCCACAUUGGGACUGAGACACGGCCCAAACGCCUACGGGAGGCAGCAGUAGGGAAUCUUCCGCAAUGGACGAAAGUCUGACGGAGCAACGCCGCGGGAGUGAAGAAGGCCUUCGGGUCGUAAAACUCUGUUGCCGGGGAAGAACAAGUGCCGUUCGAACAGGGCGGCGCCUUGACGGUACCCGGCCAGAAAGCCACGGCUAACUACGUG
rnacentral:rRNA from 1 species